rnacentral:rRNA from 1 species
CAAGACCUUGCGCUUUUGGAGCGGCCGAUGUCUGAUUAGCUAGUUGGUGAGGUAAAGGCUUACCAAGGCGUCGAUCAGUAGCUGGUCUGAGAGGACGACCAGCCACACUGGGACUGAGACACGGCCCAGACUCCUACGGGAGGCAGCAGUGGGGAAUUUUGGACAAUGGGGGAAACCCUGAUCCAGCCAUGCCGCGUGAGUGAAGAAGGCCUUCGGGUUGUAAAGCUCUUUCAGCCGGAACGAAACGGUCACAGCUAAUACCUGUGACUACUGACGGUACCGGAAGAAGAAGCACCGGCUAACUACGUGCCAGCAGCCGCGGUAAUACGUAGGGUGCGAGCGUUAAUCAGAAUUACUGGGCGUAAAGCGUGCGCAGGCGGUUUUGUAAGUCAGAUGUGAAAUCCCCGGGCUUAACCUGGGAACU